rfam:Ancylostoma duodenale strain Zhejiang A_duodenale-1.0_Cont15166.1, whole genome shotgun sequence.
CCAACGGCCCUCUUUAGGGCCACUUUCUGAUGAUUCGAAUACAUG